GCUGCAGCAAUGGUGUAGUCAAGAUGUGGU
rnacentral:piRNA from 1 species